rnacentral:misc_RNA from 1 species
UGGACUACAUGGGUAUCUAAUCCUGUUUGCUCCCCACACUUUCGCACCUCAGCGUCAGUAUCGAGCCAGUGAGCCGCCUUCGCCACUGGUGUUCCUCCGAAUAUCUACGAAUUUCACCUCUACACUCGGAAUUCCACUCACCUCUCUCGAACUCAAGACCAGGAGUUUUGGAGGCAGUUCCAGGGUUGAGCCCUGGGAUUUCACCCCCAACUUUCUGAUCCGCCUACGCGCGCUUUACGCCCAGUAAUUCCGAACAACGCUAACCCCCUCCGUAUUACCGCGGCUGCUGGCACGGAGUUAGCCGGGGUUUCUUUACCAGGUACUGUCAUUAUCAUCCCUGGCGAAAGAGCUUUACGACCCUAAGGCCUUCGUCACUCACGCGGCAUGGCUAGAUCAGGCU